UUCCCGCCUGAGGCGGUUACGGAAACGCGGAGACUCGAGACUUGAAGCCAGCUUAUUCUGGACCCACGCAGGCGACUGAAGACGAUGGGACCCACUGCCCUGCAUUCGGUAAGUCCCGGGUCUAACGGAUGAUCCAUAUAUUUCAGGUGAGGAGCAAAAGAAGGGAUCCACCUAUUCAGUUCCAAAAUCUAAGGAGAAGUUGAUGGAGAAGCAUUCCCAGGAAGCCAGGCAGGCAGACAGGGAGUCGGAGAAGCCUGUGGACAGCCUCCACCCGGGGGCCGGGACAGCCAAGCACCCGCCGCCGGCAGCUUCGCUGGAAGUGACGGGCUGAGCGACAGUGAGGAGCAGGCUGCUGACUCCCUUGCCACACCGUGAAGGAGUCCCAAAGGUGGGACACUGAGUGAGACAAGCCAGAGGAAAGACCACUCAUGUUGCAGUUCCCUUUCCAUGGAAUGUCCAGAAAAGGCACAUUUACAGAGAGAAGCAGAUGAGUGGUUGCUGGGCAGAAAUGGGAGCCGGCCACAGCUGAGCACAAGAGGACUUUGGAGGGUGAUGGAAAUGGUUUUCGACCUGAAUCUGAACAUGGGAAGCACUGCAGUUUAGUAGUCCUGGUCCCUAAGCCCUUCCAGCCCAGGAGCCAGACCUGUGAGCAAACAAGCCUUUAGUGAUUCCAGGCUCUGGCUGGAACCUUGAGUCUUCUCAGCUUGGGGCAUGCACCUCAGGGGGAGCCAGCAUCAGUGUCCAGCCCCAAGAGCUUCCCUGUACGUCUCAGUGAGUCUUCACAUGCCUCCAACUGCCUGGACAACCACACGUGAUACCUGUCCUGCCAAACGUGUCCUGAACCCAUAAAAUCCAGAGAAAAGAAAAUCGUUUUAAACUGCUGAGGUUUGGGGUAAGUUACUAUGAAGCAGUAGUGAGAAGAACAGAAGGGCCAUGAUGGGGAGAAAGUUUGGCCAUAAGUUAAUCACUGUGGCAGCUGUUAGGAUAUUGAUGUGGCUUGGCUGUGUCCUCACCCAAAUCUCAUUUUGAAUUCCCACAUGUGGGAGGAACUGGGUGGGAGGUGAUUGAAUUAUGGGGGCAGGUCUUUCCUGUGCUGUUUUCGUGAUAGUGAAUGAGUGUCACGAGAUCCGAUGGUUUUAAAAACGGGAGUUUCCUGCAUAAGCUCUCUCUCUGCCUGCUGCCAUCCAUGUAAGAUGUGACUCGCUCCUCCCUACCUUCCGCCGUGAUUGUGAGGCGUCCCCAGCCAUGUGGAACUGUAAGUCCA
rnacentral:lncRNA from 1 species